rnacentral:sRNA from 5 species
UAUUCUGCCCAGACGGGAAGGAUGAGAAGCUUCGACUCAGGUUCGAUUCGAGCGUUAGCGAGAAAGCGUUGCCGCAGGCAACGACCCGAAGGGCGAAGCGCACCGCGCUGAGUAAUCCUUCCCCCACCACCA